rnacentral:lncRNA from 10 species
UAGGAAAUGUGUAUUUGAGUCCAUGGGGAAAAGAAUUUGAUUGAUCUGGAUAGUUGCUUUGCUCCCAGGAAAAUGUUUUCACUCAUCCAUGUGUCCCUUCCCAGGAACCAGGGCAAAGCACUAAUGGCACUGUGGAGGGAGUUAUCACAGGAGUGGAAGAGGACAAAGUGAUCAUGCAUGUGGAUACCUAGGGUUACAAAAUCAUCUGCUAUCUUCCUAGGAUUCUUCAAAAGUGACAAGAAAACAUAGGAAACCAACAUCAUUUUGAAUCGCUUUCUCAUGGAGCUGAUUGGCAAGCAUUCCUUCAUGAAAUCGCUCAGCAUGUAAUCUGGCAUUCAUGAGCUGUAUGUAUGGAAAACUCAAGGAGUCUGAGGUGUGAGCAAUCAACUGAAGGCACAUUUUGUAAUGGCCAUUGAUUCUGUGAACAUUAGCAGCAUUAAUACCUGCUUUGUGAUAAUAGAAGGUUUGUCAUGAUUUCAGUGUCACCAUUGGAGAUUAUGAGGUAUAGAAAAGUAUAGAGCAGGGAAAUGCAAAUUAAAAUAACCAUGAGACACAAUUUCAGAGCCAUUAGAUUGGCAACUUUUUCAAUCCUGAUAACACUAACUGUGGUGAGGGUGGAGAAUCAGAAACGGGCUUUUAUACUCAGUCUGUGGGAGUGAAAAAUUGGAAUAAUUACAAUAGAGAACAAUUUUGCAGUACUUAGUAAAGUUGAUAUGUACAUAAUUUCAAUUCAACAAAUAUAUUUUUUUUUAAGCAGGUUUUUUUGUUGUUCUUUUUGAGACAGAGUCUUGCUCUGUUGCCUAGGCUGGGGUGCAGUGGUGCGAUCUCAGCUCACUGCAACCUCUGCCUCCUGGGUUCAAGUGAUUCUCAUGUCUCAGCCUCCUGAGUAGCUGGACUUACAGGUGUGUACCACCAUGCCCAAAUAAUUUUUUGUAUUUUCAGGAGAGACGGGGUUUCGCUAUGUUGGCCAGGCUGGUCUCAAACUCCUGACCUCAAGUGAUCUGCCCACCUUGACCUUCGAAAGUGUUGGGAUUGCAUGCAUGAGCCACCACACGCAGCCAAAUUUACUUCUGUAUAAAUACCCAAGCAAGUUUCUUGAGCUUAUGGGUCAGGCCGUGUGUACCUAAGCCUGUUCAUUGCAACAUUUCUCGGGAUAGCAAAACAAUGGAAUACUACAGAGUAGUUAAAAUAAAUGCAGGAAUUAGGCCAGGCACGGUGGCUCACGCCUAUAAUCCUAGCACUUUGAGAGGCCAAGACAGGUGGAUCACUUGAGGUCAGGAGUUAGAGACCAUCCUGGCCAACAUGGUGAAACCCCAUCUCUACUAAACAGAAAAAAAUUAGCUGGGUGUGGUGGCGCAUGCCUGUAAUCCCAGCUACUUGGUAGCUGAGGCGGGAGAAUCGCUUGAACCCAGGAGGUGGAGGUUGCAGUGAGCCGAGAUCGCGCUACUGCACUCCAGUCUGGGCAAUAAGAGUGAGAUUCUGUCUCGAGAAAAACAAACAAAAACCAUGUAAAAGCGUGAUAUCGUUUAAGAGAAUUUGUAAAACACACAAAUAAUGCUUUGUGUUGUUUGUGGACACAUAUUCUCCAGCUGUCACAUCCUCUUCCUGGCCUUCUCUACCUACUUCUGGCCCUGGGAAGCUUUACAGACCUUAUCAGAGAACUCUUUUCUCUGUCUUUGGUUGGGUUCAUCCAAUGGGAAGCACCAGUAGGAGUCAGAGGGGAGGAGAAGAGACAGGCAGGGGGAAUUAACUCUCUUCCUCUCCUUGCCUACUCCCUCUUUGCCAGGGGUUUGCAGAGGCUGCAUUUGUUCACUGAAGACCACAAGUACUGUCGGUAACCCUCUGCUACAGUGGCAAGUCUUUCUGAGUUCUGUAGCAGGGGACCUCCAGUUGCUACCCCCAAGAUGCUUCACCAUCCCUUUCUGGGGUCCCUUAUUGCAGCCUCUACAUUUGCAAAGAGAACUUUUAUGAAAUUGUCUUCCAUGACCCCGUUUGCACAUGCUUGUCAAGGCCCUGAAUGAUGCACGUAUUUAUGUGGGGAGAUUUAAAACUAUGCUCAUUAGUUGGCUGGGUAUGGUGGCUCACGUCUAUAAUCCCAGCACUUUGGGAGGCUGAGAUGGGAGGAUUGCUUGAGGCCAGGAGUUCAAGACCAGACUGUUCAACAUAGCAAGACCUCGUCCCUAUUAUUUAAAUAAAAAGAAAAAGAAAAAAAGAAGAAAAUAAAACUAUGCUCACUAAUGAUCUCUCUCAGUUCAGGAAGCUGGUUACCUCUGCAAAAGGAAGUACAAGAAAGGAUUGGGACAGGGUGGAAGGAGUUAGCUGUAGUUGCAUAGUUUUUUUUUAAAUUUAAUCUAAUUGAUUUAUUUCUUUGACACCGAGUCUAGCUCUGUUGCCCAGGCUGGAGUGCAGUGGUGAGAUCUCGGCUCACCGCAACCUCCACCUCCUGGGUUCCAGCAAUUCUUCUGCCUCAGCCUCCCGAGUAGCUGGGAUUACAGGCAUGUGCCACCACGCCUGGAUAAUUUUUGUAUUUUUAGUAGAGUCAGGGUUUCACCAUGUUGGCCAGACUGGUUUCAAACUCUUGAUCUCAGGCUAUCCACCCGCCUCAGCUUCCCAAAGUGCUGGGAUUAUAGGCGUGAGCCUCCGUGCCCAGCCAGUUUUAUUUUUUUUAAUAAACUUUUUUUAAAAAAUCACACCAGAAUCUAUUGUGUAAAAAUGUUCAAAUCCAUUAAAUCUGAGUGGUUAAUCCAUGGGUAUCAUAUCAUAAUGAUUAUUAUUUUUGUUUUGAUUGCAUUUUUUUUUCUUUUUUGAAACAGAGUCUCCUUCUGUCGCCCAGGCCGGAGUGCAGUGGCACAAUCUCAGCUUCCUCCAACCUCUGCCUCCCAGGUUCAAGCGAUUCUCCUGCCUCAGCCUCCCAAGUAGCUGAGAUUACAGGCAGGCACCACCAUGCCCAGUGUACUUUUUGUGUUGUUAGUAGAGAUGGGGUUUCACCAUGUUGGCCAGGCUGGUCUCAAACUCCCAACCUCAGGUGAUCCACCUGCCUCGGCCUCCAAAAGUGCUAGGAUUACAGGCAUAAGCCACUGCGCCUGGCCUUAAAAUAUUUUAAAAAAUAUUCUCCUUGCAUAAUGAGGUUUAAAAAAAUGAAGCGUUUCCUAAUUCAGAAUGAUACAAGGGUGUCACCUGAGGCCCAAGAUGGAUUGCAUGCGUUGGAAAGUUCUCCCUCACCUGGGACGCCCCAGAUCCUUUCUUCACCAGCACCUUCUUCAGAGACACAAGAGAGGCUGAGCAUGGUGGCUGACACCUAUAAUCCCUACAUAUUAGAACGCUGAGGUGGGAGAAUCACUUGAAGCCAGGAGUUUGAGAGCAGCCUGGGCAACAUAGCAAGACCCUAUCUCUACAAAAAAAAUUUUUUUUAAUUAGCCCAGCAUGGUGGCAUGUAUGUAGUCCUAGAAACUCAGGAGGCUGAGGCAGGAGGAUUGCUUAAACCCAGGAGGUCAAGGCUGCAGUGAGGCAAGACUGCACACUGCACACUCCAACCCGGGCAACAAGAUAACUUCUAUACACGUAGAUGAGGCAGUUCCGCCUCUUUGCCUAAAGAUUGUGGGAAGUGUGCAACUGCAAUGAUAAAAAGGACACUCUAUGUGACAGCAAGAUAAAAUUGGCUCUCAGUCAACUGUGAAAGGCAUUGCAUGGGUGACAGAUGAGUGUUAUUAACAGAACAGAUUAUUUGCUUCUUUCUAUUUCUGCAAAUUAUUCUUGUUAACUACAAUCUAAACUCGUCUGUUUCCAUGUUGUUGAGGAAGUUCUCUGUGUAGCCAAAAUAGACACAAAACACUGUUGAAAAUUGCACAAUUGCUCAAAUUCCUUGAGUAAAACAUUUGGUACUCUUGAAAUCUUCAAACUAGAGUCAAAGCCUAUAUUGCCUUGCCCAAGGUAACUGGUGUAUGCAUAUGUGUGUGUGUGUGUGUGUGUGUGUGUGCGCGCGUGCGCAUGCAAGUGCCUGCAUGCAGCAAACAAGUUACAUUUAUUUCUGUAAAAAAGUAAAUAAUACUGAAGUGUAGAGUUGAUAUGACAGCUUUCCUACCCCAGCCUUAUCCCAGUCCUUUCCUUUAUCAGAAAUAAACACCGCU